UACGAAGGAGGCUAGCGUUGCUCGGAAUCACUGGGCGUAAAGCGCACGUAGGCGGCUUUUUAAGUCAGGGGUGAAAUCCUGGAGCUCAACUCCAGAACUGCCUUUGAUACUGAGAAGCUUGAGUCCGGGAGAGGUGAGUGGAACUGCGAGUGUAGAGGUGAAAUUCGUAGAUAUUCGCAAGAACACCAGUGGCGAAGGCGGCUCACUGGCCCGGUACUGACGCUGAGGUGCGAAAGCGUGGGGAGCAA
rnacentral:rRNA from 1 species